rnacentral:rRNA from 1 species
AUUGAACGCUGGCGGCAUGCCUUACACAUGCAAGUCGAACGGCAGCACGGGGCAACCUGGUGGCGAGUGGCGAACGGGUGAGUAAUGCAUCGGAACGUGCCAUUGAGUGGGGGAUAACGUAGCGAAAGUUGCGCUAAUACCGCAUAUUCUGUGAGCAGGAAAGCAGGGGACCGCAAGGCCUUGCGCUCUUUGAGCGGCCGAUGUCAGAUUAGCUAGUUGGUGAGGUAACGGCUUACCAAGGCGACGAUCUGUAGCGGGUCUGAGAGGAUGAUCCGCCACACUGGAACUGAGACACGGUCCAGACUCCUACGGGAGGCAGCAGUGGGGAAUUUUGGACAAUGGGCGCAAGCCUGAUCCAGCCAUGCCGCGUGAGUGAAGAAGGCCUCGGUGUAAAGACGUCUUUCGGUCCGGGAACGGAAAGUACGAC